CAGUCGCCGCGGUAAAACGAAGGGUGCAAGCGUUAAUCGGAAUUACUGGGCGUAAAGCGCGCGUAGGUGGUUUGGUAAGAUGGAUGUGAAAUCCCCGGGCUCAACCUGGGAACUGCAUCCAUAACUGCCUGACUAGAGUACGGUAGAGGGUGGUGGAAUUUCCUGUGUAGCGGUGAAAUGCGUAGAUAUAGGAAGGAACACCAGUGGCGAAGGCGACCACCUGGACUGAUACUGACACUGAGGUGCGAAAGCGUGGGGAGCAAACAGGAUUAGAUACCCCCGUAGUCCCUGUCUCUUAUAC
rnacentral:rRNA from 1 species